GUUAAUAUUUUUAUCUAUAAACUUUGUCAAAGUUCACAAAGCUUGACUUUAUCCAAAAGCUAAUAUGCGGACUCAAUAAAUACGGAGGGAGUAAUAAGAUAGCCUACAUGAAAUACUAUUUUCAUGCUUUGUCAUUCACGGCUUUGCACAUACUCUUAAUAAUUUCAGUUUCUUGAUACAACUUCAAGAGAGGUGCACAUACUCUUUCGAGUCAUUGUUGAUCUCAAAUAGUUCUUCAGUACUUUUUAUUUUGAAAAGCUUCUUUCAACCCAUGCCACGGUUAUAUGGGCUGUAAAUAGGAUGAUAUAAGCACAAGAGCAUUAGGAUAAAAAAUUAUUUCUCUCACGUGCAUGCUUGAAAAUCACCAUAGUAGACAUUGCACCACUUGAUAAAGUAAAUUUAUAAUCUUCAAUUCAGAUAAAAGCACUGGGUGUUCAUCAUGACUAGAAGCUUGUGCAUGUGCACCUGUUGAAAUAAUUAUACUCUCAGGACCACUUACAUUUUUAUCACCGAUAUUGAUGUCAACAUUUUCCUCUUGUUCAGAUUUACAAUUCACAUCAAUUUGUUCAUCUUUCUCCACAACUGCCGUCGCCAGUUCAUCAUCUAGGUUCAACAAAGCACCAGUAUUACUCUUGAAUACUUUAUCAAGAGCGCCUCUAUUAUUGCAUCAAGUGAUCUAAGGACUGUAUCUUUUUCAACCCUGCUCGAAAUAAAUAAAUAAUGGCAUGAAAGGUUGAUCGAUGCGAACCAUGCACCAACAUGUACGUGAAUGAUAAAUUACUUAUUUCAUUACUAAAGGCAUAGGGAGUAGAGAUAAGGGAACACUAAUUACCUUGGAUGGAUCGGAUAGGUUUUGGUGGAGGACGAGAUGUGGACUCACUUCCCGGCUCUAGCGCUGCGGUGGAUCGACGAUGUUUCGGUGCAUGUCCGAUGCAGAAGGCAGAAGAGCAAAACGGUGUCGGGUCCUAGCACUCUGACUCGCUUCUCACGAUCAUACGUCUACCGUUCUUGUCGCUACCUCUGUCCCGAUACCUAUCAUUCCCAUCUGAUGACUAGGUUGCCGAUACAAUGAGGAAAAACGUGAAAGAAAAGAACCACAUAUCUACCAACAUCGCUACUUUCAAUGCUAGGAAAUUGACAUCGCAAAAAACACGUUGGGGCGGCUAGGGAGGCUAUGUAAAUAUGUAGGGGGUAGUUGUACUUAAUUUCUGUAUGAAGAUGGGAGAUUUGAUGAUACGGAGAGCAUUGAUCACAUAAAAUAUUAGGUGAUGAGAGUUACGGCAG
rnacentral:lncRNA from 1 species